AGGGUGAUCGAAUAAACAAUAUUGGUGUUGUGGAUGCUGAGUACAUAGUGCAUUAUGGUCAUCCUACACUUGGAGGAACAGAUGAAAAUAAGGAAUCAUCUCAUUCCAAUAAAAGCGAUCGUAGGCUUGAAGAUCCAUCUCAUUCCAAUAAAAAGGAUCCUAGACUUAAAGUAAGGAGGCAAUCCUUCGUUGAAUUCAAAAUAUUUCAAAAACGAUGGCAAAAAGCAGAAAAGGAGGACAAAUGUUGGAGAGAUCCAUACAAACAAGCAGAGAAACAAAGCUUGCCUAGCUUUCAUUUAACCCCUAGAGUUGUGUAAUUAUGUACUAUGCACAGUAUUGAUGUUCCGAACAACGGAUGAGAUGACUGUGUAAGAUUUUGUCCAGUAAUUAAUAUUACUAUAUGAGCCAAAAUCAAUUCUUUUAA